CGGCAGACCGCAAGGAUGGCGGCAGGGCAGGGCGGGUGGCUCCGGCCCGCGCUGGGGCUUCGCUUACUGCUGGCGACUGCGUUUCAAGCGGUGUCUGCUCUUGGGGCAGAGUUCUCGUCAGAGGCAUGCCGGGAGUUGGGCUUCUCCAGCAACUUGCUCUGCAGCUCCUGCGAUCUCCUUGGACAGUUUAACCUGCUUCCACUGGAUCCUGUCUGCAGAGGCUGCUGUCAGGAAGAAGCGCAGUUUGAAACCAAAAAGCUUUUGUCAGAAGCGAUAAACCCAAACUGUUCAGAGGUCUACAGAUCAAGUAUGUUCGAGGCUCAGACCCUGUACUAAAGCUUUUGGACGACAACGGGAACAUUGCUGAAGAGCUCAGCAUCCUCAAGUGGAACACAGACAGUGUGGAAGAGUUCCUGAGCGAGAAGCUGGAACGCAUAUAAGCCGUGCUCAGUUGUCCGUCUGUCACUUACCACAUGAGCUGUCACUGCUCCUAGGAAACCCCUUAGCUUUGCUCACAGUGGUCUCUGUUUUACGUGCACCAUCACUUAGUUCUGCAUGCUUACAGUGGUCAUCGUUUAUGUGCGGCAUCAGUCUUCUGAUUCGAAGCUGAAGUAGCCCCACAGCCCAUAAUGUUAAGGAUCUGGCAAGGUUAACAAACCCAACUCUUAGAAAUCUCUCUUCUUCUGCACUUGCUGAUAUCACCAGUGAAAUGCUUUGUAAAGAGGCAUCUGGUUAAUUAUGCUAAUAAUAGUUGGUGAUAAUUGGUCCAGUUUUACAAACAACAGAAUUUAAAUGGAGGAGUUAAUAAAGGAGGUGCCUCCCUUGCUAUGUGCUCUUUGAAAGU
rnacentral:lncRNA from 1 species